rnacentral:lncRNA from 1 species
GACACAAAACCCGGAAGGACCCCGCCGAAGGUUUUCUCCGGUUCGGGAGAGAGACGGAGUCCCGCUCUGUCACGCAGGCUGCCAGGCUGGCGUACAGUGGCGCAAUCUCAGCUCGCUGCAACCUCCACCUCCUGGGUUCAAGCGAUUUUCUUGCCUCUGCCUCCUGAGUAGCUGGGAUUACUGGCACACACCACCAUGCACAGUUCCUUGUUCAAAAUGCCAAGAACCUGGAUGACUCAUAGUCAAGACCCUCCACCAGUAACAUAUAUUGGCGAGCCAGCCAGGAGCUUGGAACCCUCGGUGGACAGUGCCUAAGCACAGAGGCAACCACAGGUUUCUAACAGGGCCACUCUCUGGUGAAACUGAAAGGUUUCUGUGUGAAAGUGCCUGACCACCACUGCCCAAUUCAGACCACUACAGGAAACACUCCAUUUAUUCCACCUGACUUCCCACUUGGCUGCAUCCUCAACCAUUGAAAUGAAUUUGACCCUGAUAAUCUAAGGAGGAAACAUUUGAUAUUCUUUUGCAAUAAUACUUGGCCCCAGUAUUGUUUGGAAUCUGGAGUUUGCUGUUGAAUGGGAAAGCAGGAUGACGUUGCAUGUAUCCAGGCUUUGGUGCUGCUGUCCUAAGAAGGGUCAGGCCUAGUCAGCAUAUGGUGCUCUCCUUUGGUGCUAUUUGGCUCCAGUGUCUUUGGAGUCUGAGGAGGUUUGGCCUUUAAAAAUCAAACUGCCACCGGAACUGCUUUAAAAAUGUUUGGUUCACAGCCUUCACUGGAUUACCUAUUGGAGCAAACAAAGUGUAACCAUGUAAAACCUGUGAGCUUGUAUUGAUAUCUCAUGGCUAGAGUUCCAAGCGAAUGGGUCUCAUGAGAUCUGAUGGUUUUGAAAAUGGGAGUUGCCCUGCACAAGCUCUCCUUUUGCCUGCUGCCAUCCACAUAAGAUGUGAUUUGCUCUUCCUUGCCUUCCACCAUGAUUGUGAGGCCUUCCCAGCAUGUGGAAAUGGUCCAGCCUGCAAUAACUGAAGCCCCCAGACCUGGAACCUGAAGAUCCCAUCAGCCACUAAACCUGUGAACCUGUAGAAGACCUGAAGUACCUGUUUAAAAGGCAGCCAAAAGAUAAGUAAAUUCCUAUCAACUUUCCUUGGUGUCCUUCUUGUAUAUUUACUGUAAGCUGGAUAUAAUAGUAGCCAUUUUUAUAUUUUUACAAUUUAAUUGCUUUCUUCCAAAUGGAUUGAAUCACUUCUUUUAAAGUGUUUUAAUUAAUUUUUAUCUAUAGAACAAAAUAACAAAUAAGUAUUUUUUUUUUAUACCAUAAUGGUCACCCACAGCCUGUGUAUACUAAGACCAUGCAUACUGAUAAUCAGCUUUAUUUUACAAAAGAGUUUCGCUUUACCCCUCUGGUAAUUAAUGGAUUCUGGGUAUUUAUUAAAAACUUUAACACAAAGACUGUUAAAUACCACCAGUCCAGCUUUGGCAAGGCACUGUUGGCUUUGUUUAUCUCCAUCAUCAUCCAAACAGACUACCAAUCCUGAUCCCAGCCCAAUCUUGGGCCCUUGAAAAAAUAACUUAACAUCCUAACUACAAGGGAGAAACUCCUUUCAAAUUAAUGAACCUGGCUGACUUAUAUAGCCUUAAAAUUAUGGAAAUGACAAGGGUUACAAUGUCAGAAUGAGCAGUAAACCUUCCCCAGUCCUAUCAGAGCAAACUUUCUGGGGUUGCAUCCCCUCAGAAACCCAUUUGGGGCCCAAUCUCAAUGCACAUAUCAGUGCGCAAAGCACUAAAAUUCCAGGCAACACUUUGUAUUGAGAGAAGCCAAAAUUUUGGUCCCGCCCUGGGACAUCUAAAGUCACCAAUGUAACUACACCAUACAGAUUAAACCCUCACAUGAUCAUGUAAGCUAUGCAGUUACCCAAGCUGCAUCAUUUAGAAAACCUGUACAGUUUUUAUGGAAACCAUCCCUAGUCAAGGACACUUUAAAUAUAUAGUCUAAAUACCGUUAAGGUAGGCCCACUAGCUGUGUUCACAUUUUCCCUUGGCCACCUUACCAGGGACUUUAAUAACUUGGGAAAGUGAAAACAACAAGCUAACCCACAUGUUCACCAUAGAAAACAAUUUUGUCUUGAAAAACAAGGACUCUUUUUCCCGUGUGGGACCAGUUCCUACUUAUGUUUUACCAGCCAAUUGGACUGGAACCUAUACAGUUGUUUAUUUAGCCCCCGAAAUUAAUAUAGCUCCCAACAACCAAUCCUUCAUUAUACUUUUAACUGCAACCACCAGACACAAAUGAGCCAUCCAACUGAUACCACUUUCGGUAGAGCUAGGAAUAACAGCAGGAGUAGGAAUGAGAGUUAGCAGCCUUGCAGUUUCCCUAUCCUAUUACCAAUGCUUGUCCAAGGAUUUUAUGGAAAGCUUAGGUGACAUUGCCCAAAAGUAUCAUCACCUUACAAAAUCAGAUAGAGUCUUUGGCAGUGGUGGCUUUGUAAAAUAGAAGGGGACUGGAUCUCCUAAAUGCUGAAGAAGGUGGCUUAUGUCUUUUUCCUAGAGGAAGAAUGCUGUUUUUAUGUCAACCAAACAGGAUUAGUAAGGGAUGCCACCCAAAAACUAGCCGAUUGGUACCAUAAGAUAUGACAACAGCUGUCUGAGUCAUGGGGCGCCUAGUCAAAAUGCUAAUUUGGGGCUCACAUCUCCUUCCUCUGGCCAGUCCACUAUUAAUUAUUAUACUUGCCUUGGCUUUUGGAUCAUGUUUGUUAAAUCUUUUAACCAGAUUUAUUUCUUCUUGCCUAGAGACCAUUAUGAUAAUGCAGCAGGGCCACCAGUCAGUUUCAGAUAAUGAUGUCAACCCCGGCCACCAAGAAGUAACCUUGUCUCCACUAGACAGAGCAGGGUGAGAGUUCUGUAAUCCCCAGUAGGUAGGGACUGUGCCCCAAGUCAGCAUGAAGUAGUUAUGGAAGAAAGACCAUGGGUCCCUCUGCCUCCCAGAAAGAUUUAUGGGGAUCACAUCUCUCAGGGGAAAAUGAGGCAGGAGAAUAGGGUCUGGAGACAGGGAACCUAAAGCUGAUUUGUGCUGAGUUUCUAGGAUUGAAUGAAAAGGAAAACCCCACCUCUCCACACCCAAGUAACAAAAGGAUCAGAGGCUACUCCCUUUGCACUGCAUUGCAGAUAAAAAAUGGAAAGUACCUCAGAUUGGUCCCCUCCCACAACCAAUCAGACUGGCCAUGGGCUACUCCUUCGUUUACAUAGGGUGUAACCAAGUAACCAAUGGGAAACCUCUAGCGGGUAUGUAAACCCCAGAAAAUUCUGUAACCAGUGCUCUUGAGCUGCUUGCUGGAGCCUACUCCCACUUUGUGAAGUGUACUUUCAUUUCAAUAAAUUUGUGCUUUCAUUGCUUCAUUCCUUCGUUGCUUUGUGUGUUUUGUCCAAUUCUUUGUUCAAAACACCAAGAACCUGGAUGACUCAUAGUCAAGAUCCUCUACCAGUAACACUUGAACUUUCUGGUUUGUCCUGAACAUCCCUCUUUCUUAAACAACCAGUCGUUUUAUUCUAGGCCAAAAUUUUACCAUACAAGAAUAUUUCUCAUAUACAAUUAUCUUCCUUCUAACUUUUCUUGCCAGAAAUACCUUUUAUAACUUUCUUUACAUUGCUUUUAUUUAACGAUUACUUUUACCUUGUUUCAUAAGUUUUAAAUAGCCUUGAAUUAGAUAAAAAAUUAUUUUCCUUUAAAUAAGAACACAUUUCUUUUUUUAGAAAAAUAUUUUUCUGUAAUUUUUUUUUUUUCUUGAGACAGAGUCUUGCUCUGUCACCCAGGCUGGAGUGCAGUGGCACAAUCUUGGCUCACUGCAAGUUCUGCCUCCCGGGUUCACGCCAUCCUCCUGCCUCAGCCUCCAGGGUAGCUGGGACUAGAGGUGCACACCACCACGCCUGGCUAAUUUUUUGUAUUUUUAGUAGAGACGGGGUUUCACUGUGUUAGCCAGGAUGAUCUCGAUCUCCUGACUAUGAUCUGUCUGCCUCAGCCUCCCAAAGUGCUGGGAUUACAGGUGUGAGCCACUGCACCUGGCCUAAUAUUUUAAAUUGGAAAUGACCCAGAUGUUUAAUGAGUACCUAUUAUUUAACUUAAUAUAAUUUUAGAUUCUAAAUUAUAUAACAAGUUUAAUCACAAGCAUUUAUUCCAUUACAUUUACCUAAUUAAUUUUUUUAAUAGUUUACUCAGAUUACUUUUGAAAACUGAGAGUUAUCAUUGAAAGUUAUUUCCCAGUUAAUCAUUUUUAUAGACUGCGAAUUUCAGGUUUUCCUAAGUAAGAAACUUAAGGUUAGAUAAAUGGUUUCUUUUUUUUUUUUUUUGCCAAUAACUUAGGAUUUAGCUGUUUUCAUUAACUAAACAAUAUUAAAUGCCUUAUUUAUGAAAUUUUACAUAGAGAUAAUUUUCCUUUGGGCUGCAUUCAUUGUUUUAUAACCCUCAUGCCAAAUUUUGGCAUCUAGCAGAGAUAAAUAUGAAACCACUGUUCCAAUAAAUUUAAACAAUAGUGUAUGUUGACAAUUCUGAAGCCAUUCUAAUUCUAAUUUUAUUUCAUGACUACUUUCAAAACCAGCUUAUUUAUUAAAGAUAUACUUAAGUCACAUGAACUUGAAAAGACAUUUGGCUUAAAAUCUCUAUUUUCUCUGAUACAGUAUUUGAUUUAAAGCCCCUUUUUUUCUUUAAGCCAAUUAAUUAGAGCACUUUUACAUGUUUCUAGUAGUGAAACAUCAUAUACAUGACACAUAAAUACAUAGAUGUAUUAUACAUGCAGAUAGAAGUAGAGCUUAUCAUUUCACAAGACCUCUUUUUUUCCUCCAGUUCUAGACUUCUAAUUUCUUGAUCUUAUUACCCUAGGCAGUUGUCAGCUAAGAUAACCCUAAAUUUGCAUAUUAAAGGAACUCUUAGAUGAAAAAAAUCAGAUAGUGAAAUUUACAUCUCAAGGUACAGAGAGAAAGAGUCUGGUGCUAGUGUUUCCAGAAUUUAUUCCUUCUGGUGGGUUCUUGGUCUCUCUGACUUCAAGAAAGAAGCCUCGGACCUUGCAGUGAGUGUUACAGCUCUUAAAGGUGGCGUGUCCAGGGUUGUUUGUUCCUUCUGGUGGGUUUGUGGUCUCACUUCAGGAAUGAAGCUGCAGACCCUCAUGGUGAGUGUUACAGCAAUUAAAGGUAGUGUGGACCCAAAGAGUGAGCAGCAGCAAGAUUUAUUAUGAAGAGCGAAAGAACAAAGCUUCCACAGCAUGGAAAGGGACCUGAGCGGGUUGAUGCUGCUGGCUGUGGUGACCAGCUUUUAUUCCCUUAUUCGUCCCCACCCACGUCCUGGUGAUUGGUCCAUUUUACAGAGCACUGAUUGGUCCAUUUCACAGAGUGCUGAUUGGUGCAUUUUACAGAGUGCUGAUUGGCGCAUUUACAAUCCUUUAGCUAGACACAGAGUGCUGAUUGGUGCAUUUUUACAGAGUGCUGAUUGGUGCAUUUACAAUCCUUUAGCCACAGAGUGCUGAUUGGUGCAUUUACAAUCCUUUAGCUAGACACAGAGCACUGAUUGGUGCAUUGUUAUAGAGUGCUGCUUGGUGCAUUUACAAUCCUUUAGCUAGACACAGAGCACUGAUUGGUGCAUUGUUAUAGAGUGCUGCUUGGUGCAUUUACAAUCCUUUAGCUAGACACAGAGCGCUGAUUGGUGCGUUUUUACAGAGUGCUGAUUGGUAUAUUUACAAUCCUUUAGCUAGACACAGAGCACUGAUUGGUGUGUUUAUAAUCCUCUAGCUAGACAGAAAAGUUCCCCAAGUCCCCACUCGACCCAGGAAGUCCAGCUGGUUUCACCUCUCACUAGUAGGAGGAGAUUAAAAACGAAUGCCAAAUCAAACAUAAAAUUAUAGAAAUCUAUCAUAGGAUUAUAUUAGAAGACUGACUUUAUUUAUAUAAGUAGUUCUAAAUUUAGUCUGCCUUUUAACUGGAUCUCUGAGCUCUGGGCAGAGCCCACACUGAAUUCCGGGUCUCCAAAAAGAGAAUUAUUAUGAGGCUAAGACCAUGUGAUGGUUUUAUGAGUGCACUCUCCUUUUUUUUUUUUUUUUAACAAAAAUGUUUCUCUAAGUGUCUGAACUACUCUCUUCCUAACUUUAAACACCCAACAGUAACCUCUGUUGUUACUCUUUGACUAAAAUAAUUAUUUUAGUUAAAAAAAAAAAAAAAAGAAGAAAGAAAGAAACCAGGUAACACUAUACAAAAGGAAGCAGUGUAAGAUCUGAGACGAAAUUUUCUCUUUUACACUCUUUGAGUUCCAUAAGGAGAAACAGAGGUUGCUCCCCAAAAGGGAGUCUAGUGCCUUCUCUGUUUUCUUUAAGGAAUCCCAGGGUGUUAGAAACUAUUUUAGAUUCCUCAUGCAGCACAGGGUAGCAAGAGAAAGAAGAGGCAGCAGAAGUAAAAUGAAGAAAACAGAAUUUGGUUGACGGAGAAGAAAAAAACUUUUGCUCAAAAAGUUGAAGGAGAGAAAUAAAAAAGGCCUUAACUACACACACACACACACACACACACACACACCUUGGAUGUUAGCUUUUAUUUAAGCUUUUAGCCACUAAGCUCCUUAAAAAAAAUACCUUCAAAUCUCAUUACUGUAUUUUAGCUAGUACAAACUGCUGAUAUUUCAAAAGUAAUGCAAAUACCAAACCAGAAAGGGCUUGAUUUAGGAACCAAACUUAGGCAGUCAUGAUGAAAAUAAGGACAGAAUCUUAGUUUCCAAACUGCAGUGCUGGGGGACAACCAUUGCUCUUUCAGUUUGGCCUGGUUAGCAAAAGAUGGCCUUGUUAUGUAAAUAAAGCCCCUAAGGUAGUCAAAAUCAAAAAAAAUUUUUUUUUCCUUUUGCUAGCUGUUUUUUUCUUUUUUCUUUUUCAGUUGCAGGAAUUUAGCCAAUUCAGAGGUCUUGUUCUCCAUAAUUUGGAAUUUUCCUUCGGAUUUGAUCAAGUUGGAUAGAGUUGGUCAAACCCAAUGGGAAAAAGAUGAAAACAACAAGAAACAGAAACAAACAGCAACAACAACAACAACAAAAACAGACCCCACACCUCCAGACCCUGCUGAGGGAGGGCCACCCAUUUCUAGUCCCAGCUCCUACUCUAACUAUCUGUGUGACCUUAAACAAGGCCUUUCCCCUCUCUGGCCUCAGUAUCCGCCUCUGAAUAAUGGGGCUGGGCCUGCCGACCUUCUGGCCCUUUUCUGCUCUGUGAGUUUGUGAACUUGUGAUAGGGAGACAGGAGUCCUAGGAAGGAAAUGGAACUGGUGAUAGGGAGACAAGAGUCCUAGGAAGGAAAUGGAACUUGUGAUAGGGAGACAAGAGUCCUAGGAAAUGGAAGGAGAGCACGUUUCACUCUGUCCAGCAGAGGGCAGCAGCUACCCACAAAUCAACAGCUGAGCAAGGCCAGGGCUGUGUGGGAGCUAUGCACAGGUUCUGCCUCCAGAAGCCUUCAGUGCCUGCCUCUGAGCCAGAGGGUUCCAAGCAGAAGAGGUCCCGCCCCCGGAGAGGGACCUCAGAGAGGUCCUCCAAGCCCCUCUCAGCUCUUACUUACGGCAUCCCAGAUGCCCUAUUCCUCUUCUGCAGAGAGAAGGUGGUUCAGCCACUAAAUGGUGCUGGGACCUCGCAGUUUGGUGGGAAGGAGGAAGCUUACUCAAGCAAGGAAUAUGAGACAGGCAAAAACCCACGCAUAAGCCAAAAGCCCCUCCAAAGCGAGGUGUUGUUCCAGGCUGACAAGUGUCCAGCAGGGUGGACUUCAGACUCCCUGUUAGGAACUGAAUUGUGUCCCCCAAAAAGAGAAAGUCACCCCAGGGUAUGACCUAAUUCAGGAAAGGUCAUUGCAGAUGCAUUUAAUUAAAUGAAGAUGAGCUCAUGCUGGAGUAGGGUGGACUCUGAACCCAGUGGGACAAGCGUCCUUAUUAAGAAGAGGGAAAUCUGGACACACACAGAGCAGAGACCGCCGUGUGAAGAUGGAGGCAGAGAUCGGAGAGAUGCUGCCACACGCCACAAAUGCCUGGGGCUCCCAGAAACUACACGGAGCCUCCCCCAGCGGCUUCAGCAGGAGCAUGGCUCGGCCAACACUUUGAUCUUGGUCUUCCAGCCUCCAGAACGUUUUCCUAAAAUUCCCUUUUCCACUGGUGUGUGGUGCAAGAUGAGGCACAUUUUCCAUGGAUGGUGAACAGAGGGAGGAGCCUUUUGAUCACAACCAGGUCACCCCACUUCUAAGCCACUGUGCCUCCAGCCCCACAAGACUAAGGAGAGAGAGCGCAGCGUGGUGGAGAGUGAGCUGUGCUGGGACCAUUGUUUCCGUAACCUCGUUUUCUGUGUCCAGCUGACACACCUUCAAAGUGGCAUCAGGUCCUAAACUGUAGCUUGCAAUGUGCCUGUUUCCAGAAACCAAGGUGAAAGUGCUUUUAGACAGUGUUCCCAUGCAAGAGUCCCUUCCCAGCUUUUUUCUGGAAAUGCAUGUUUCUCUGAACUCUGAGUCCCAAGAAAAAUCACUUGAGACACCAAGAAAAUGGGGGAAGUGCUAAAAUUGUGUGGGAAUUCAAGCUUAACAAUAAACAUCAAGACAUUUUUGAUAAAAAUGAAUCCACUGACAUCGGGGAGGAGCAAGAGAACAGCACGCUGACACUGGGUCAGAGGCUAAGACCGACAUUUCUGGGAACCACUCCCGGAAGGGCACAGAGGAGACGCUUUCAGCCUCUCAUCAGCCAGCCUGGCCUGUAGCUGCUGCACGUUAUGAGUGUGUUCCUGGCAUGACUGCUUCUAACAAAGAAAUGCUGAGGCAGUGUCACGCUGGUGUCUGUCCUCCUUACAGAAUGCCUGAACAGUUCCAUUGACUCAAAGUGAAGAUCAAAAGAACCAAAUGACAGCAAUAGCCAAGUGUAAUCAUCAGUAACCCUGUGUUCUAUCCACAG